rnacentral:lncRNA from 1 species
GGGGUCUGGAGCCUAGGCCUCAGGAGUCCUUUCAGCCUCUGUCUUCCCCCACUUGGAAUCCUGCCCUGAGACUUCCAUGAACAGAAGCUGGUUCAGCCUCCAUGAGGAUAAAAAGCCUUGUGGAGGGAAACCAAGGUGCCCCAGACAACGGCCAGCAACAACUGCCAGGGUCUCAGGCCAAUGGACCAGUAGCCUGUGAUUCUGAUGAGCGCUCUGAAAACAGGUGAAAACUGUUCAUCCCUUCUUUGGCGUCCUCAUCACAGGUGGUAGAAUUGAACUGCUCCUAGCAGAACCUGGGAAGAAAUACCUCGAGUCAGUUUGUUUUCUGAGUUCUGCCACGGUUAACGGACUUCCUGUGUAGGAGAUGCAGCUGUAGCCUGGCCACAGAAACAGAAGCAUACAGUUUCCACCUCUGACAAUGAAAGCUGGGCCUCGUGAGAGCUGGGAAAACCUGGGUCUGAAUCUUCCCACUUAGCUCGAAGCUCCUGUCUGGACCACAGCAGCCAAUUCUCACAACAUACAGUAGGAUCACGGCGUGAAGAGAUGCUGAAGAUGAACAGCAAGGAUCUCUUGGGAAAAAAUAUAUCUUCAAACAAGGGAGAUCCAGAAAAGCUUUUGUCUUCCAGGCUAGACUAUAGCCUUCUAUGGCCAAGAUGGAAACAGGUCUUACUCUCUAGAAAAUCUACUGUAUUACUAACUCAGUUUCAGCAUCAGCUUCUCAGAGAACUCAGCUUCCACAGUUGGCACCAAGUAUGACCUGAGAGAACAAGUGACAAGACAGAGGUCUGGGGACUGGAUCACUCACCACCCAGCUGGUUACGAAGCCCCCCACCCCUGGGGAUAAGUGGUGUGCAGAGAGCACUUGGCCUUAGAUGGUGGUCCAGUUGUUAGAUGCUUCACCAGACCCAGGACCUUAGGAACCAGACCUGGACACCUGCCACCCCUGGGACAACCUCCAGGACACCAGGAGCCCUGAUGUUUCAAGGUGAAAGAAGAUCAGGAAGAAAGGUAUCUUUCAAAUCAAUGCCAUUUAGGCACUACAGGAUGGUUUUAGAAGUAGAUUUUAAUUUCAUAAGUAAUGCAUAUUCAUUGAAGAAAAAUUAGAAAAUCUAUUUCCGCAAAGAGAUAAAAAUCUCACCAAACAUACAGGAACCAUUGAUAAUCUCUGAUUGCAUUUUCUCCAGGUUUUUCUCAUUAAUAUGAUUAUGGACGUCAUGGAUGUGUUUUUGUAACAAGCAUGAGGAGUACAGGCAGUUUUAGAACCUGCUUUUCUAAAGAAUGGAUUAUUGUGCCUUGGGUAUAGUUCAGUCAUUUUCCAGAGAUACAAGUUCCCCUAUACUACAUUCUCUAACAUUUUGUAAUUUAAUGCAUCAUUGACCAAACAAGUGACUGUCAGUGGGCCAGGAACAAAAAGAAUUAAUUUUUUAAAAUUAUGUUUCUGACCUAAGGUCGGCCUAUUAUGUGCUGGAAGCCGUAUGCAUCAUCUCAUUUAAUCCUUACAUUAAGCUGAUUGAUCUCUCUCAUUGUAUAGAUAGAAAAAAACCCAGGUUUAGAGAGGUUAAUGAACCCUCCCAAGGUCACACAGCGAGGAAUCGGCAGACCCCUCAUGUAUCUGAUGCUGCACUUCAGCUCUUUCCAAAUUACUGAUCCAUCAAUGAAAUAGACUUUGACUUGGUGCAGGCAGAGAUGUGUGUAGCAGUACCAAUCAUGUGAUCUAGACCGUAAAAGAAAGCACCCACUGUUACCAUGGGGCCCAUCGGCAGCAUUUCAUGUGAAUGUCUCUGAUGAAGGCCCACCCAGAAGGUCAAUGUCAGCCUCUACUGAUGAGCCUUUAGCAUACCAGGCAAAAUGAGGCAGCUGAGCAGGCUUAUUAAGGCCGAACCAGCUUUGCCCUCUUGGUAUUCAGAAAAGUAGGCAGAUGUUGUCCUCAACUGGCAUUCUCCUGGCUGGAGCUGACUGGAAAUGGUACCAGUCCUAAGAGGGGCUCCAGAAAAUCCUGGACAAGCACACCCAGGCUCUAUGAAAUUCAACUUCUCCUUGGAAAAAGGGUCCCUUCUGUUUCUUGUAAAGAUUCAGGAUGAAACAGGCAGAUUCCUCCAUGGUCACCCCUGGACCUUGGCUGACCACAUUCUGAAAGAGUAGGACAAACAAUUACUCCAUAUUAGGCACUUUUUUUCUUCAGGGGAUGAAACCCAAGAAUGCAUGUGCCCACUUGCAGAUUUUGGCAUCUCUGCUCUAAAGUUGGAAGGAUUAGCACUCUAUAACUUUACUCUUUGCUUGUAUGGGGAGUAAUUAUUUGUUAGAACAACAGGCUUUCGUUUCCUUCAAUGCUACAGUCAUAACUCUAAACAAUUUUAACGUCUUUGAAGAGAAUUAAUUAGCUCUUCUGUUGAUACUUCUAAAGCGCUUUAAUGCAGGUCUGGUUUUAUACUCAGCCUUUAAAAGAACUUCCAUGGCAGCCACUUAACAGAUAACAGACUUUUCAGGAAAUGCCCGAUGCUUUGUAGCAUCUGAAAGGAAUCAUGUUUGAUAGACAUUUGUGCAAUUAAGAAAUAUACUUGCUCAUUGAUAAAAGGGUACUGUUGAUGAAAAUUCCUUUAAAAAUUAAAGGUAUGUCUUAUAAUUGAUUUUUUUUACUUAGUCGAAAAAUAAUGGCAUGACCAUUUUCUUUAAUUGUAAGGAAACUUUAAAAGAUAGGACGAUACUCAGUGCCAGGAAAAUUACAAUUUGUUUAAAAUCUCCAGAGUAAAAUUCCUUAUUUCUCUAGGUGGUUCGUUCCUAUGUUUUAUAGACAUUUUCAUUUCAACUCUUCCUAGGUUAUCCUUAAAUCAGAUUUAUUGAAAGCCAAUGAGUACCUGCUAUAUGCCAGGUUAAUUUGGCAACUAUCAUUUUGCUUUAUUUUUAAAACUGAAGUAUAGUUGACUUAUUUAUUGUGUUAAUGUCAGGUAUACAGUAUAGUGAUUCAGUAUUUUUGCAGAUUAUAUUCCAUUAUAGGUUAUUACAAAAUAAUGGGUAUAAAAAAUUCCCUGUGUUAUAUAGCUGGUUUAUUUUUUUCUUUUUUGGCCACCACUCAGCACAUGGAGUUCCUAGGCCAGGGAUCAGAUCCAAAGAUCUGUAUACCUACACUGCAGCACUGGAUCCUUAACCCACCGUGCCAGACCAUGAAUUGAACCUGCGUCCAAGAGCUCCAGCGACUUUGCCCGUCCUGUUGCACCACAGAGGGAACGCCUGGCAAUUAUUAUUUUAAAUAAUCCUCAAAACCCAUUCCCUACAACAGGUAGUAGUCUAGUAACAAAAUACCUCCAUCUUCCAGAUGAUAAAAUUAAGAUUUGGGCAAAUCAAUUGACACGGUUCAUUCACACAAUUCGAAGGGCCAGAAUCAGAAUUUGCACCCAGGUCUUCAGCUGCCAGGGUCCAGCAAGCCACACCUGCUUUUCUGUGGGCUGUGGGGCUGCUAUGGAAGGGUAGCUCACUCAGUCACAGGCACAACUGUCCCUUCUCUUGUCCUUGUCUGCAGGCCAAGGCUCAGGGGCUACUUCCCCAACCUACUGAUUGUGACCCUUGGCUUAGACUCUGGGCAUCUUCAUUUAUAAAGCUUUCCAGGUCAUUUUUCAUUUCCAUUUAAAUCUAUGAAUCCAAUUCCUUUGGCCUCUGCUCACCAAUCUCCUUUUUUGCAAACCAUCUUCAUUUUGUCAUGGUCCCUUCUGGGACUUAACCGUCAUAAUUAACGUGGAGUCACCCUAUAAGAGACCACCAGCUCCUGGAGACAGAAUGAUGGACCUCGUGGCCUUUCCCCCUCAUAUCAAACUUUUUCAACAUCUUCUCACUCAUUCAAUGCUUAGGUUAAAGAGUUCAAUGACUUUUUUCAAAAGCUAAGAGGGGUCGGUCUCUAGACGUAAGUGUGAAGGCAGAAUACAUCCGUGUAAUUGAAAGAACACGAAAAGUCAGCAGACUUUUCUUCAAAACCUUGUGAUGUGAUUUUGGCUAAGUCAUUCACUCUCUUAAAUUUAUAAAAUAGGGAUAAUCAUAGGUACCUCUCAGAGCUAUUUGCUGUCAUGCAUGGGCCACCAAACUCAAAAAAACUUCUUCUUCCCAGCCGGCCUAGCCAGAGCAUCACACUCAAAAAAAAAAUUCAGUUCAAGAAUGUCUUGAAAAGCACUGUAUACCUGUAUGGAGGUCUCUAAAGAUGAAAGCAGGGCUUACAAAUGGCAGUACACCUGUGAGCAAGCCAUGGAUUGAGGGCGAAACUGCCCAAGUUCAAAAUGCAACACCUUCACUUCUUGGUUGUGUGUCCUUGGGCAAGUUGUUAGGUCAUUUCUAUGCCUCAGUCUCUUCAUCUGUGAAAUGAAGGCACUAACGGUAUUUCCCUCAUAGGUCUAGAAAUUCCAAGAUGUAAAACAACUAUAGCAGAAGGAAUCUUCGAGGUUGGCUGCCUUGUUUCUUAGAAACCUAUCUUGAUUGUAGGAACAUGAGACAAAGCUUGCAGAAUUUAGAUGCAGGGCCUGGAUCUGUGUCCUUCCUACCUGCUGUCCUGACUAUCACCCCUGCCCCUGCCCUGACAUCUGCUUCCAACAAUCUCGAACCUCUGGAGACUAAGCUUCUCCUACAUACAGCCAAGGCCUGGAGUCUCAGGAUUAAAUGUGUCACUAGAUUUAAGGACAGUGCUUGGGACAAAGUCUAGAAAGUGUUUGCUAUUAUUGUAGCGUGUAGCAUUUGACAGAGCAAAACAUCCUUAAUUUUUUUUUUUUUUUUAGGGCUACACUCAUGGCAUAUGGAAGUUCCCAGGCUAGGGGUCAAAUCAGAGCUACAGCUGCCAGCCUACACCACAGCUCACAGCAACACCAGAUCCUUAGCCCACUGAGUGAGGCCAGGGAUGGAACCUGCCUUCAGGUUCAUUUCUGCUGCACCAUAGUGGGAACUCCCCAAAGCAAAACAUCCUUAAAACCCUUAGCUCAAGAAGGUCCCUGAGAUCCCACACUGGGGAGCAGCUGCCCAAGUCUCUCACCUCUUAUUCUCCUGCCUCCCAGGCUAAGGGCUCCACCUGCCUUUCAGGUAUCUACAUCUCCCUCCCCCCAGAGGCUCCAGCUCUUUCAUAGGCAAUGUGAUGUACCCCUUUCUCUACUUGCUUUGUUUCUUUAAUCUAGCACCCCAGUCUUUACCCCCGUCAGCCUAACAGAUGUUGUCAAGGGCCUGAGGAGGCAGAAGGUGACAGGAUAUUUUUGUCACACACCCCAUAAUAUAUUUAUGAUGCUUGGUAUCUUGUGGAAACUCAGUGAAUAUGAGUUUCCUCCUCACUUUAGUAUCAAACACAGGACAAUAAGGGCAAAGCGACCUAUUUCAGAUGCUUAUGGGAAGUUGCAUACCACCAAUUCUUCCUCUUUCAUGGUGCAUUAAUACACCUGCCUCAUGACAUUGGUUCUGAAAACCAGGAACAUAGGCAGACCCACAGGCUGAGGGCAUAUGCAAUCUGAGGAUCUAGGUCUGUGCUGUCCAACAUGGUAGCCACUAGCCAGCCAAGCCUGUUUCAAUUACAAUGAAUGAAAAUGAAAUAAAAUUCAAAAUUCAGUUCCUCACGGAGUUCCCGUCGUGGCUCAGUGGUUAAGGAAUCCGACUAGGAACCAUGAGGUUGUGGGUUCUAUCCCUGGCCUUGCUCAGUGGGUUAAGGAUCUGGCAUUGCCGUGAGCUGUGGUGUAGGUAGAUGCAGCUUGGAUCCCAUGUUGCUGUGACUCUGGUGUAGGCCAGCGGCUACAGCUCUGAUUAGACUCCUAGCCUGGGAAUCUCCAUAUGCCACGGGAGUGGCCUUAGAAAAGGCAAAAAAAAAAAAAAAAAAAAUUUCAGUUCCUCAGCCACAUUAGUCACAUUUCAAAUGCCCAGUUGCCAGCUGUGACUAGUAGCUGGUGCACUGGACAGCACGGCCAUGGCACAUUCCCAACCCAGCAGGAAAUUACUGGGCAACACUGGUCUCCAGGAGAUAAGCAGAGCAUGAAUUGGGUACCCUCAUUCCAGCCCUUCCUGAGACCCUCGGCCUCAGCUGUAGGAGAAGCUGAGCCCCCAGAGGUUCAAGACCAUUGAACGUGGAUGUCAAGGCAGAAGCGGGGGUGGUGGUCAGGAUGGAGGGAAGGCGACAGGGGAAAGACCCAGGCUUUGCAUGUAAAUUCCACAAGCUCUUAGUCUGCUUAGCAUCAAGACAGGUUUCCAAGAAACAAGGCAGCGUGCUUUGAAAAGACUCAUUCUGCCUCAGCCAGAGGUACCUUUGCAAAGACCCUAUGUAACUGAACUGCCUGGGAAAGGAGCUCUGAGGUUAUUUCUUACCUUUUAAAGUGAAGUGGAAAUUGGGAGCAAUUAUCAGGACAUUUCAAAGAGAAAAAUGUCUGAAAUAAGUUAUCAGCGGAGUGGAUGCGAACGUCAGUUUUCUGCCCGGAAUUAUCCAGAUGAAGACUUCGAGUCUUAUGUAGACACAGUCUGAGAAUGUGUUGCCCACACUUGCCUGUGAUUUCUUCCCACUGUGACUUGAGACCCAUAGGAGGUGGGAAUGAAAAAGACAGCAAAGAAGAUGGGCUGGCAGCCUUGGGUUGGGCAGGUGGCAGAGCGUGCGGAUGGGGAUCUUGGUUAUCAGUUGCUUCUUUAGAGAGUGCAAGCCUGCCGAAACUGGUUCUCCCAGACAUUCUUCCCUUCCCGGGGCCUCCUGCCUGUGGGCCUCUCUUUGCCACUGUCUCCAGGAGGUUUCUGCAUGAGGAGCUGAUGAGAGGGGCUCACCAGCCUUUUUUACAAGGUGUUUUUCAUCAGAGACUUCUACUCAGGGAGGAUCUGCACUCAGGCUUGAUGGACACGCGUGACAUCUCAGGUACUUCUAAGUUGGGACAGCCGUUCUGCAAAGUAGUCAUGUGUCUGAGGGACGCUGGGGGUGUGCGUGGUGCGCCCCACCCCCAGGCAGGCCUGUAAGUGUACAAAGCAGGUCAGCAGGCUUGUUGGCAUCUGGCAGCUUCAGGAGACUUCUGAGGCUCCUGCCCAGAACCACAUAGAGACCCAUCACAUAGCACAUGGUAAAAACCUAUGAAUGCAAAUUAGGUAAAUAAGUGAAUAUUUAUUUUUUAAAUGAUUUUUAUUUUUUCCAUUAUAGUUGGUUUACUGUAUUCUAUCAGUUUUCCACUGUAUAGCAAAGUGACCCAAUCACACACACGCAUGUAUACAUUCUUUUUCUCACAUCAUCCUCUAUCAUGCUCCACCACAAGUGACUGAUAUAAUUCCCUCUGCAUACAGCAGGAUCUCAUUGCUUAUCCACUCCAAAUGCAAUAGCUUACAUCCACUAACCCCAAAUUCUUAGUCCAUCCCAAUCCCUCCCCCUCCCCCUUGGCAACCACAAGUCUGUUCUUCAAGCCCAUGUGUUUCUUUUCUGUGGAAAGGUUCAUUUGUGCUGUAUAUUAGAUUCCAGAUAUAAGUGAUAUAUUAGGGUAUUUGUCUUUCUCUUUCUGACAUACUUCACUUAGUAUGAGGUUCUCUAGUUCCAUCCAUGUUACUGUAAAUGGCAUCAUUUUGUUCUUUUUUAUGGAUGAGUAGUAUUCCAUUGUGUAUAUAUACCACAUCUUCUUAAUCCAUUCAUCUAUCAAUGGACAUUUAGGUUGCUUCCAUGUCUUGGCUAUUGUGAAUGGUGCUGCAAUGAACAUACAGGUGCAUGUAUCUAUUUCAAAGGAAGUUUUGUCUGGAUAUAUGCCCAAGAGUGGGAUUGCUGGGUCAUAUGGUACUUCUGUGUAUAGAUUUCUAAGAUACCUCCAUACUGUUUUCCAUAGUGGUUGUACCAUGAAUAUUUAUUUAGACUUGAAAUUUCUGGAUUCAGAAAAAUUAAGGGCCUUUCCUCUGUGACCUCUUCAGGCAGUUUACCAAAGAUGCUUACAAAGAGAUGCUUCCUGGCAACCUGGCUUUUCCUCUAUACCUAAAAUAUACUCUAGCACCUGCCAUAACCAGCACUCAUAGGACAAUACAAGGGAGGGGUUCUGAAGCUCCAGAUUUAGUGACCACAAUAAAUUCCCCUCUGACCAUAGGACUGUGGAUGGGAUUGUAGAGUGACCUCAAGUAUUUAUAUUUCUUUCCCAAAUGUGAAAAUAACCCCAGAGGAGUAAAAUAGUUUCCCACUAUCCCAUCACUUUUCACACUAGAAAUGAGAACCAGGUCUCAUUCCCAGACUGCUCUCUAUUCUCCAAACCACUUUGUCUGAUAGGAGGUAACAUGAAGGGGUCAGAGUCAAAGCCAGGGUCCAAAGAUUCAAAUUACACAUUCUUGGAGUUCCUGUCAUGGUUCAGUGGUAACGAACCCAACUAGCAUCCGUGAGGAUGCUGGUUUGGUCCCUGGCCUCGCUCAGUGGGUUAAGGAUCUAGCAUUGCCACAAGCAGCAGUGUAGGUUGCAGAGGUGGCUUGGAUCUGGUGUUGCUAUGGCUGUGGCAUAGGCCGGCAGCUCCCGUAGCCUGGGAACUUCCAUAUGCUGUGGGUGUGGCUCGAAAAAGACAGAAAAAAAAAAAA